rnacentral:rRNA from 1 species
UGGGGAAUAUUGGACAAUGGGGGAAACCCUGAUCCAGCAAUGCCGCGUGAGUGAAGAAGGCCUUAGGGUUGUAAAGCUCUUUCGCCCGCGAAGAUAAUGACGGUAGCGGGAGAAGAAGCCCCGGCUAACUACGUGCCAGCAGCCGCGGUAAUACGGAGGGGGCUAGCGUUGUUCGGAAUUACUGGGCGUAAAGCGUACGUAGGCGGAUGCGCAAGUUGGGGGUGAAAUCCAGGGGCUUAACCUCGGAAUUGCCCUCAAAACUGCACGUCUUGAGACCGGGAGAGGUAAGGGGAAUUCCUAGUGUAGAGGUGAAAUUCGUAGAUAUUAGGAAGAACACCAGUGGCGAAGGCGCCUUACUGGCUCGGUACUGACGCUGAGGUACGAAAGCGUGGGGAGCAAACA